AUAUAAACUGUAUAUCAUAUAUAUCUGCACAUAUAAACUAUCAUAUAUAAUACAUCUGCACAUACAAACUAUCAUAUCUGCACAUAUAAACUAUAUCAUAUAUAUCUGCACAUAUAAACUAUCAUAUAUAAUACAUCUGCACAUACAAACUAUGUAUCAUAUAUAAUACAUCUGCACUUAUAAACUCUGUGUAUCAUACAUAAUACAUCUGCACAUAUAAACUAUCAUAUCUGUACAUAUAAACUGUGUAUAUCAUAUAUAUCUGCACAUAUAAACUGUAUCAUAUAUAAUCUGCACUUAUAAACUGUAUCAUAUAUAUCUGCACAUAUAAACUGUAUCAUAUAUAUCUGCACAUAUAAACUGUCAUAUAUAAUACAUCUGCACAUAUAAACUGUGUGUAUCAUAUAUACAUCUGCACAUAUAAACUGUGUGUAUCAUAUAUAAUACAUCUGCACUUAUAAACUGUAUCAUAUAUAUCUGCACAUAUAAACUGUAUCAUAUAUAAUAUAUCUGCACAUAUAAACUAUCAUAUAUAAUACAUCUGCACAUAUAAACUGUAUCAUAUAUAACUGCACAUAUAAACUGUCAUAUAUAUCUGCACAUAUAAACUGUCAUAUAUAUGCACAUAUAAACUAUCAUAUAUAAUACAUCUGCACAUAUAAACUGUGUAUCAUAUAUAAUACAUCUGCACAUAUAUAUAAAUUGUGUAUAAUACAUCUGCACAUAUAAACUGUAUCAUAUAUAAUACAUCUGCACAUAUAAACUAUCAUAUCUGCACAUAUAAACUAUCAUAUCUGCACAUAUAAACUAUCAUAUAUCUGCACAUAUAAACUGUAUCAUAUAUCUGCACAUAUAAACUGUGUGUAUCAUAUAUAUCCGCACAUAUAAACUGUGUGUGUAUCAUAUAUAUCUGCACAUAUAAACUGUGUGUGUAUCAUAUAUAAUACAUCUGCACACAUGCUUCUCUGUAUUGAAAACCAAAUUGUCACGGACCACUCCCAUUCUCACGCAGCAUUUAGGGCUGUGGCUAGCCUUUCCCAGCUGUAAGAAACCUGUCUUUCAGCAUGAUAAACACAUUUACUUAUUUGCUCAGUCCUCUAAUAUGCAGAAAGUAGUUUUAGAAUUGCCAAAACCAUACAACUUGGAAAAACAAGCAUGAUUACUUCAAGAUGUGUUUGUAGCUCCUUCUGUCCUGGCAUUGGACGUGGAGAGAAAGCACAGACUGUUCCAAGUUUCAUUUUUCCCCUUCUCUGAAACGCAGAGAGCGUUGUUUGUUUCUGUUUGUAUUUCAUUUGGGUCCUCCCUCUAGCCUUAUUCAUAAAUUUGUAAAUGAUCUUUAACAAUCUGUUAUAUUUAUGAUGUUUUACUGCGUGCUGCCUGUGAAAAUGUUUCCUUCUUCUGACACGUUCCAGAACAACUAGGCUUUUAAAUUCCAAAUAUUCCUGUUUCACAAUAAACCAGAUGAGGGCCUCUGUUGUGCCACAGCUUUUGGAAUGUGGUUUAUUACCAAUAGAAGUGGCUGCGUGGCUUGUUAUGGUUUCAAUUACACGUGAGUAACAACCGGGGCCCUUCUGUGUCAGGUGCUGCUGAUCAAGGCUGGCUAAUGGGGACCUCGCUGUCCAGAACGGGCGUUUCCCAUGGCCCGGCCCAGCUGUUUACCACUUCUGUCUACCAUUUCAGAGGGGCUUUGCGGAGAUUAAAUGAGGUGAAGCGCUCUGAGAACCUCAGUCCUAAAGAAUAGCAGUUAUACUGGUUUUUGUAUUAUAUUUAUAUAUUCUUCUUGUUAAUAUACUGGUUUUAAUGUUCAUCGUUCUCUUGGGAUCCCAUGACAGUGAGCCUGGUGUACCUGAGGUCUGGGAUACUCACACCUCUCCCCAGUCCCAUGCUCCCCACUGUGGCAGUGCCUGUCAGGGACCCUGCUGACCCCAGGAAGCCUCGGUGUCCCCAGCGCUGGCUCUGCUCACACAGGCAGCAGGCUUAGUGUUCUCUGGCCUGGCUGCACUGACUGGACCAGGGACAGGGGAAGGGCCCCAAAGCACCCUGUUCCAGGCAGCCGGCCAGUCGUGGCCGAGGAGCUCCAUUCAACAGUGGCACCCAGAGGGGCCAGGGUCUCAUAAAGCUGGUCAGACGCCCCCUCUGGGUAGGGGUGUAGGAAGCGGCUGUGCAGCCGGGUCCCAGGUAGGGAGGCAUAGAGUGAAGGCUGUGAGCAGGAGCCCUGGGGCGGAGGGCCAGGAGAAGGCUGGGCACAGGUCCAUCGGUGGCAGCUGGGUGGGCAGAGCAGAGAGGCUGCAUCUGCACGACGGCAGGGCCCUGGUGUGGGAACAGCAGACGGGGCCCCUGGGUGCGGCGCCUCCUUCCCACAUCCCUGCUGCUCCUGCAUCUGCUGCUGGAGAAGACCACGACGUGCUCAGACCCCGGCACUGGAGAACUCCAGAUGUGGUGAGGGCUGCACGUUAGCUGCAUACGCACAUCUGGAAGGUGAGGCAGACGUGCCCACCGCCUCCAUGCCUGGCCCACAGUUGUGGGCAUGCAGAGCUCCUCUGUGGCAGGCCCAGGCUGCACCAGCUGCCUGGAGAGGCACUGGGGGCGGGGCCUCACUUGAGGGGCAGAUUCUCCCACCCAGCCAGUCCAGGCCCAGCGGCUGGAGCAUCCCGUCCAGCAAAUUGUCCUGCAAGUUGCCCUGGAGACCCAGCGUCUCUCAUCACGUCUCACUCCCCUGCCAGAUGCCUCUGCGGCAAUAACGAGAGUGGCUCUGCCUUCUGCACUGAAUGCCGACAGGUGACCAGAACAUGACACUGGGGUUAUGCAGUGCCCUGGUUGAUAUUCUAGUUCAUCAGGGAGCUUCUGGAAUGAUUUUUUUUUUCUUUUUUUUUUUUUUUUGAGACAGAGUCUCUCUCUGUCGCCCAGGCUGGAGUGCAAUGGAGCAAUCUUGGCUCACCACAACCUCUGCCUCCGGGGUUCAAGUGAUUCUCCUGUCUGAGCCUCCUGAGUAGCUGGGAUUACAGGUGUCCACCACUAUCACUCAGUUAAUUUUUAUAUUUUUAGUAGAGAUGGGGUUUCACCAUGUUGCCUGGGCUGGUCUCAAACUCCUGACCUCAGGUGAUCUGCCUCCUCAGCCUCCCAAAGUGCUGGGAUUACAGGCAUGAGCCACCUCACCCAGCCAACUUUCUUUUGCUUCACUUUUCCUCUGGUUGCCCCAUCUUUAUUGUCAAGUCCUGUUAAGAGGAACAACAUUAAAAUGAGAGCUUUCAUGGCAAAAAGGUUGCUGUGGGUUGAGCUUGCAAUGUUAGCUGCGUGUUAGGAUUCAGCUGACAUCUGUCUCUGGAGUCUCGCCCUUUCUGUAAUUCGCUUUUGACUGUAAUAAAUGUUGUACAGUGAAUGUGUGGGUGGGGCCUCUGAGUUACAUCGGCUCAAGGCCUCUUUUAAGGAGGACCCAAAUAAGAGUGGGGAUUGAUGUAUUUGACUGGGAACCCACUCAGGGCCACCAUGCAGUGAAGCUCCGGAGCAGGGGUGUAGACGCCCUGCUUGAAGCGUUGAGAAGCCCCACAGUACAAGUGUGCAGAAGUCAAGCUCCUCCUGCUGGAGCAGGGACAGGGCAAUAGGGAAAGGCUUUUCCAGAGGCAGGGUCAUUGGGACUGGCUCUUCCGGGAGGAGCUGAGGGCACACGCUGGGCAGAGCUGACCUCUGUGUGCGGAUCGCCUGGGAUGGCGCCUCCGGUGGCCUCACGAUAAAGCACCUCAGAGGCAGGAGAUGAACUUGAGACCUGACCGUGAAGGAGUGAGGAGUGAAGUCCUCUUCUCAACAGAAGGAAACCAUCAAAGAGGUUACAUAAUCAAAACUGUGUUGUCAAAAUAUUGCUGGACAGAGAUGGCGGCUGGUCCGGCACGUGGGAAUGUUGGUGACAAGAGGUCAGUUCGGUGGCUCUUGGACCUCCCAGGCCAGGAGGGAAGCGCCCAGGCCAAGGUGGGAGCCUGAGAAUAGAGAUUUCAAGAGACGCUUCUAAUGAAUGCUCAUCAGAAUGUUAUUAUUAUUUUAUUUUAUUAUUUUAUUGGGACUGGAUUGACUUGCAUUUCCUUCACUAAUCAGAAGUUUGAGGGCAAAGAUAAAUCUCAAAUAAUCACCUUGCAUUUCUGAUGAGUUAAAUGAGUGUGUUUUAUGCCCUGGUUGUAUGAGCUUGCUUUUCCACAAAUAAGAGUGGAAAUUUUAUUUUAUUAUUAUUUUGUAUUAUUAUUUUAUUUUAUUUUU
rnacentral:lncRNA from 10 species